AACGCGAAGAACCUUACCUACCCUUGACAUCCUAGGAAUUAAGCAGAGAUGUUUGAGUGCCUUCGGGAGCCUAGAGACAGGUGCUGCAUGGCUGUCGUCAGCUCGUGUCGUGAGAUGUUGGGUUAAGUCCCGUAACGAGCGCAACCCUUAUUCUUAGUUGCUAACGAGUAAUGUUGAGAACUCUAAGGAGACUGCCGGUGACAAGCCGGAGGAAGGUGGGGACGACGUCAAGUCAUCAUGGCCCUUACGGGUAGGGCUACACGCGUGCUACAAUGGACGGUACAAAGGGAAGCGAAGCAGUGAUGUGGAGCGAAUCCUAUAAAAGCCGUUCGUAGUCCGGAUUGGAGUCUGCAACUCGACUCCAUGAAGUUGGAAUCGCUAGUAAUCGUGGAUCAGAACGCCACGGUGAAUACGUUCCCGGGCCUUGUACACACCGAGACGUA
rnacentral:rRNA from 1 species